GAUGAACGCUGGCGGCGUGCCUAAUACAUGCAAGUCGAGCGCGAGAGUGAGGAGCUUGCUCCUCAUAAUCGAGCGGCGGACGGGUGAGUAACACGUAGGCAACCUACCCUUGAGAUUGGGAUAACUACCGGAAACGGUAGCUAAUACCGGAUACGACUGUUACACACAAGUGGAAUGGUUAAAAGGCGGAUUUAUCUGCCGCUCAUGGAUGGGCCUGCGGUGCAUUAGCUAGUUGGUGAGGUAGUGGCUCACCAAGGCGACGAUGCAUAGCCGACCUGAGAGGGUGAUCGGCCACACUGGGACUGAGACACGGCCCAGACUCCUACGGGAGGCAGCAGUAGGGAAUCUUCCGCAAUGGACGCAAGUCUGACGGAGCAACGCCGCGUGAGUGAUGAAGGGUUUCGGCUCGUAAAACUCUGUUGUUAAGGAAGAACACCUGAGGUAGUAACUGGCCUUGAGAUGACGGUACUUAACCAGAAAGCCACGGCUAACUACGUGCCAGCAGCCGCCGUAA
rnacentral:rRNA from 1 species